rnacentral:misc_RNA from 1 species
UAUGUGCCAGCUGAUGUUGAUAAG